CACAGCCCGGGCUGGGUGAUCCGGGUGCAGGAGGGUAGUCUGGGGCAGGCCAGUCCGAAGCGGGCCGGAAUCUGCGUGCCAGCGAGGGAUAACAGACGAGGAAAUUGGGGCUAGGGUCCGGCGGCUGGCAAUGCCGCAGGGGGCGGGCUCACAUGCCGUACGGGGCGGAGCCCUGGGGCUCGGGGCGGGACGCGGGACAGCGGUGGGAAGAACAACGGAGCCGGUGAGGGUGGAGGGCGGAACUAAGUGUUCUGUAGCUGGGUUAGGAGGUCUGGGGGGCGGGGUCUGGCCUUUAGAGGAGGAGCUGGAGCAGGUGGAAGGUGGAGCCUUGGGGUCGGAGACUGAGGGCGUGGGAUCCCAGGCGUUAGAGGCGGGGCUUCAGCCAGUGGCAGGCGUGGCCCCUGUUCAGAAGCGGCCUAGCAUUACUGAGGGCGGGGUUGUAAGUCAGGGGGCGGAGCCAAGCGUCCUAAGGGGUGGGGCUAGGGAACCUUGCGAAGAGCCAAGCCUGAGUAAUGGCCAGAGGCGUCCACGGGGGGGCGGUCUUCGUGGUGGCCGCGCCUGGGGUCGCGGUAGACCGAGAACUCCCCCUGGAGAGGUUGUGUGGGUGGAGCGGGCGCGGCGCCCCGCUGACUCGAGCCCAGUCUGGGUGCCUCGGAGGCCCCCGAGAGCUCAGAGCUGGGGGGGAGCCCCUGGUGGAGGAGGCACGGAACCGGGAUGGGGGAUGCCUCCGGAGGACCGUGCCUCCCCAGAGCCGCCUAGCGGAGAUGUGUGGGUACCUCGGGGCCGGCCACCUCCAGCCGCCGCAGAGGUGUGGGUGUGCUGGACAGGGGGCAGCUGGGUGUGGCGGGAGUGGGGUCGUCCGGUGGGGACAAAUCCGGUGCAACCAGAUAGGGUUUGGACUUUACGUAAAGGGACUGGCGGGAACUGAAAAACGGAAAUGGGGACUGGGAGGGAGAGAAGGUCUGGUAGUGAGCAAAGGGACGGGGCCCUGGCUGCUGUGGCCUCCCCUGACUCCCUCCCCUCGCUGCUGGGGUCCUCGGCCAAGCCCCCUUCUCACUGGACUGAGACAUGAGGCUGAGCUGGGUCCUGACAAUACUGUCCAUUUGCCUGAGUGCCCUGGCCACAGCCACGGGGGCAGAAGGCAAACGGAAGCUGCAGAUCGGAGUGAAGAAACGCGUGGACCACUGCCCCAUCAAGUCUAGAAAGGGAG